rnacentral:lncRNA from 1 species
AAGCUUAAACUUUAUCAACAUUAGAUAUAACAUAUGGAACUGUAAAGAACAACACAUAAGCUGUUCAUAUCUAGACUUUGCAAUUAAGCCACUCAUUGCAAUACACUCCUCAGGCAUUGUUUCCAGUGCAUUCCACAGUUCUGGAGGGUACACACAGGGACAUUAAAGGAAGAAGGCUUCUCCUUUGGAAUGAAGAGAGUGCAGUUACUAGCCACAGGCUUCACUUUAACAACUGCAUGGGCUCACAUUUUCCCCAUAUAGGCAGAGAGCUAUUUCUGUGCAGCAUGUCCUUUGUGAGGGGCAUCCAUGCCAUUCGUUUCAGAAUGAGAACAAGUCACAUUCUUCCUCAUCCAGGAUGCUCAUUAUCAGUUUGGCGUUGGCUUGUUUGUUGAUGUUGUGUGUUCUUUCAUGUUCUAAUGAAAACCACACACUUUCCUGGGCCACUUACCUUUCAGAAAAAGGAGUCACAUUUUACAACCACAUUUAACAUGGAGACCCUAAAAGAGUGACUUGGAACCCAAUCUUAAUUGGAUACAUAAACUGUUCAGUAUCAGGAGUUGACCCCCUGUUACUAUUUAACAUGAACUGGACAUCAGACUUGACAGAAAACAUAUCAAAGUGUCAUGAAAGACUCAUGGAAUUAGAAGUGGUGGAGAAAAACAGCAAAAGAGUACCAAUACCAUUGACCUCUUACUGCAAAUGCAGACAAAAGCCAAGACUCCUUUGUGUGAAUGCCAUUGCUUUUUAUAAACAAGUUAUGAGGAGCAAGUAGGUCAUCAUAUCAGAUAUUGUCCUCUCUGCUGCAGGCUGUAGAAAUGGACCUCCUUCAAUAUCUGCUUAAUGAGGGAAUAAGAACCUUGAUCUUGGCACAGAUCCUCCUGGGAGAACUCGGGGAUUUUGGAAUUAAUUUCAGGCAUGUUCUGGUUUAAGCAGUUCUCUGGCAUAUUUUCUCCACCUUAACCCCUGGUUCUCACAUUUCUUCUGCUCCUUCUUGAUAGGGAGCUCCAGAGCUCCAUGAGCUCCUAGGGUAGGAACUCAUGGAGAACUCCAAUUUGGGCUCUCUCUUUGCCUAGUUGUUUGUCUGUGUGUCUCUGCAUCUAGAUGAGCAGUAUUUUAAACAAAGUCUAGCAGCUUCCCCUCACAAAUGGGAAAAUCUAGGAGGCAUCAUUAUCUGGUGCAUGAGCACUUCAGGCAUUUGAUGAACUCCCCAGUUUUGUAUACCAUGCUGCGUACAGUUUUUCAGGAGCUGUGGAUAUCCAGUUGAUGAUGGUGGAUUGAUAGGGUUUUUAAAGAACUUCUAUUUAUAGUCCAAGCAAGUGUAGGCCAAGGAAACACUCAUGGUAUGGAGGAAGCAUGCCAUUCCUUCUGAUGCAAAAAGCGCUCUUUGAUGAGACACGCAGAAGUGAUGAAGAAUGUAGAAAGGGAGAGUGGGACAAGAAAGAAAGAUAACUGUCAGUGUGAAUGAAAAGAGAAGAAGGUCUGGGGGAGUGGGCAAUUGCUUACAUUCUCCAUUGGUAAAUAAAAUAUUUGCAUUUUAACAGACAUAGUUUUUAAGCACUCUGCAAUACCCCUCACACCCCUACCUCGCACCCUGCCUGUGGGGAUCACUUAAGUCUCUUGGGCAUGGGCUAUGUUAAGUAGCACUUUGGAGAUGCUGACACAAAACAGGACCUUUGGAAGAUCAAGCAGUGCUCUUAACCUCUCAGCCAUCUCCCCAGCCCAUGGUGAGUUGCCAGGAGCUGAGGAAUACUCUUGUGUUCUGUGUGUCAGGAUCUCCUCAAAGUGCUCCUCUUAAAUCACAUUCCUCCAUCCCAAAAACUGUGCUUGGGUGGGAUUAAUGUUUACCUCCCAUACAGAAAAGACACUAGAGUGCUGAAAGAAACAACACAGUGUGUCGUACAAAUGCUGGAGCCGGUACACAGACACAAGUUCACAAAUGGUGGUGUGAGAUAUAGACACAAGCUUGCAUGUGGUUGAGCAGGGCUUUAGAAACAAGCUUUAAAAAUGGUGGGGUGGGACAUAGACACAAGGUAAAUGUGGUGGGGUGAUAACUAGACACAAGGUCAAAAAUUGGGGUAGGAUAUAGAGAGAAGCAUAAAAUUCUGGAGCUGUGACAUGGACACAAAAACAAAAAUGGCAGGGUGAAAUAUACACAGAAGCUCACAAAUGUUGGACCUGGGACUUACACACAAGCAAUGUGAACCAGGAGGUGACAACCCUCUUCAGGUCCAUUACUUGGCUUAUGAAUGUGAGCACCUUAAUUUGCAUUUCCACCCAUGUUCUGUUGACUGUCAUUUCUCUGGUUUCUCAGUGGCCCCAGGAUAGACUUUUGGGUGUUUCCCACUGUAAGGCAGCCUUUUCAGUAUUAGUGAGUCAUUCCAGAAGCCACAGAAUAUCAUGUGGUCAACAUUUUCAUGUGUGUCAACAGGACAAAUACGGAAAAUCCAGUGGAUGUGGCUUCAGUGAGAACUAAAAGUGAAGGAAGGGAGCUGCUGACAUCCCAGAUACCAAUUCUGCUGCCUGCAUGCUCCUCACACUUCCACCACUGGCCUUUUUGGGGUACUAGGGGCUGAUUUUGGGUGUGGGUCUAACUUUCUGUGCAGAUAGUUGGAAUGGCUGUUUCAAAAAUACAUCAUGCAUUUGAAAUCAUUGAGUUCCUUGCAGCCAUUGUUUAUGUGACACUGUUAUGUGUCCUAAUUCUGUUGGUGAUGUUGUCCAUUGGCAUGAUAGUAUUUAUUAUACAUAAUUGUGCUUGUUAUAUUUUAAUAUUAUCUCUUAGAGGAGCAGAAAGGGGAUGGAUCUGGAAGAGAGGGGAGGUGUGGGGGAACUAUGAGGAGUAGACAGAGCCUGAGCUUUGACCAGUUGGACUUGCAGAGGACACAAGGGAACUCACCUACUCAUCUCUAAUGAAAUGCUUUUUUUUUUCCAAAGGCUUUUCUAAAACUGUGUUGUAGUUGGUGACUAUUUUAAAGUAGCCUUAUUCGUUAAGGUUCAUUAUGGUUAUGCUUCAUUAUACCAUUAUAGAUAUAGGAGAAUCAGCAAAUACAGAGCAUCCUUGAUUUAAUUAGUCCCUAAGAUAUUUUACCUUAUACAUUAUGCAAUGUUAUAAUCUAUACAAUGAUGUAAUUUACAAAAGUACAUAAUACUUCAAGAGCAGGAUUUAGACACUGGCACACUGGGUAUGUAGAAUUCUCUUUCACUGAAUCAUAUGUGUAAAUUCAUGCAAUUACCACCACAAUCAAGUUUCAACUCUGUUCCAUCAGAGGGAGGCAAUAAAAGGCAACCUAACAGGAAUGAAGUAUUAUUAAGUGGUACCAUGGUUUUUUACAUUUGUUUGGUUUGUGGUGUACACACAUGCAUGGUUUCACAUAUGUGUCAGGGGUGUGAUUUCUUUUCUGUUUUGUGUGUAGAGUCAGGUGAGAUAUCCACCAUCCACAUUUUGAAUAUCAACUGAUGUUGUCAUUGUAAGUGUCUUAUUUAUAUGACCAUAGUGUUUAGCUUAUAUGGGUGUAGCCUCCCCAUCACAUAUAAAAGACACAUUUUCAUUGCAGCUGUCCUGAUCCACAGGAGCUUAUAACCUUCCUGCCCCAUCUUUCAAUAUAUUCCCUAAGCCUUUUAUAUGGGGGUUGUGUUGUAGAUGUAUUCAUUGGGAAUGAACCCAGUCAACUAUUCUCAGCAGUUUGACCAGUUGUGCAUUUCUAUAAUAGUCUCGCUCAGCUGCGAAAAGAAUCUCCUUUGAUGAAGUUGAGACAUAAUAUACUCAUCUAUGCAUAUAAAUAUAAGUAUUUAGAAUGUACUUAGAAAGUGUCUAGGCAGUGACAGUAGUGAGCUCCCCUCUAGUGCCCAUGGUCUCACUAUAUUCUAACAUUUGUUUGUUUGUUAUCAGGAAACACAAAUGCAAGCAUAAACAAUACAAGAGUUGGAAGAGAGAAUUUCAGGCAUUGAAGAUAAUCUAGAGGAAAUAGAUUCAUCACUCAAAGAAAAUUUUAAAUCCAAGAAAUGCUUAACACAAAACAUGCAGGAAAUAUGGGAUACCAUGUAAAGACCGAAACAAAGAAUAAUAGGGAUACAAGAAGUUGAAGAAGUCCAACUCAAAGGCACAGAAAAUAGAUUCAACAAAAUCAUGGAAGAAAACUUUCCCAAACUAAAGAAGGACAUGCCUUUGAAAACACAAGAGGCUUACAGAGAACCAAAUAGACUGGACCAAAAAUUUCAUUUCACCUCUAAAAAGACACAGGCUGACAGGUAGGAUAUGAAAACAGAAUCCAUCCUUUUGCUGGAUACAUGAAAAACACCUCAAACUCACAGACAGACAUUACCUCAGAAUAAGUGUUGGGAAAAAAUUCCAAUCAAUUUGACCUAAGAAACAACCUGGUAUAGCUAUCCUAAUAGCUAUCAAAAUAGUCUUCAAACUAAAAUCAAUCAAAAAAGAUAAAGAAGGGCAUUUCAUAUUGAACACAAGAAAAAUCCAUCAAAAGGAAAUCUCAAUUCUGAUCAUUUAUGCCACAAACACAAUGGCUCCUGCAUUUGUAAAAGAAACAUAACUAACAUUAAAUCACGAAUAAAGCCCCACAAACUAAUAGUGGGAGACUUCAAUACCCCAUUCUCACUACAAAAACUUGUGGUAGUAACCAACCAAUAUCUGAUUUGAUUUAAGGCCCACUCCAUGAGAUGGAACCUAUACCUGACACUGUGUGGCUGACCAAGAACCAGAGAUUAUAUAGUCCAGGAACUCAGAGUAAAGCCAAGUUCUAAUGUAAGCAAUAAAUGACUCUUAAUGAGCUCCUGUCAUAUACAUAAAUCAGUGCCUUGUUUAGCCAUCAUCAGACAAGCUUCUUCCUGCAGCAGAUGGAAAUAAAUAUAGAGGUCCACAGCUAGACAUUUCAGAGAGCAAGAGAUGUUGGAACACCCUAAAUGGGAUGUCUUCAUCAAGUUCUUCUCCUCAAUAAUUAGGGAACCCUGUAGAAGAGGAGGCAGAAGGGGUGUAAGCAACAGACGGGAUGGAGGACACCAGGAAAACAAGGCUGUCUAAAUCAACAGUAUAAAGCUCAUAUGAACGCUCAGAGACUGAAGCAAUCUACAUGGGUCUACAUGGUUCUCUCCCAGACAUUCCGGACGUGUUUCCUGCAUACUUCAGGCAGCAGUGACAUUCACAUUUGAAAGUCUCCUGAUCUGCACCUUGAGAGGAAGACAGUUUACUUUUCCUGUCCCUUUGAUGGGGUAAGAGUGAUCUGACACGUUUCUUUCUCUUGAUUUCAGCUAGCUUUGCUUUCUUUUGGGGUGAUACUGAACUCUCAGGCUGCUGCUCUUCUUCCAUCCUUUCAAAGAAGAAAAGCACAUAUUACAAACACAAGGGUCAAUUGAAAACAGCUUCUGCUGAACACAUUCCUGGAGCUUCUACAAACAAGUGCAAAUACACAUCUCAGAAGGAGACCCUGAUGGUUUCAGCAAAGGAAAUCUUAGUUUCUAACUAGUUUGUGCAACCAUUUUGUUACGGUAAAUCUUCCCGCCAAAUGCCACCUGAGCCCCACUGCCACAUGUGAGCUUUACGCCAGCUUCCUGCCCGAGUUAGGCCCAAAUGAAUACAGAAAAACUUGUAUUAGAUUCAAAGCUGUUUGGCCAAUGGCUAGGAUUCUCAUCUGCUAGCUCAGUCUUAAUUAUCAUACAUCUAUGUAUUUUAUAAGACUUAUCGGACGCCUUAUUGGCAUCC